UGUUCCUACGGGGGGCAUCAGUAGGGAAUCUUUCACAAUGGGCGAAAGCCUGAUGGAGCAACGCCGCGUGCAGGAUGAAGGCCUUCGGGUUGUAAACUGCUUUUAUAAGCGAGAAAUAUGAUGGUAACUUAUGAAUAAGGAACGGCUAACUACGUGCCAGCAGCCGCGGUAAUACGUAGGUGGCAAGCGUUAUCCGGAUUUAUUGGGCGUAAAGGGAACGCAGGCGGUCUUUUAAGUCUGAUGUGAA
rnacentral:rRNA from 1 species